UGUUAGCUUUUGGUAAGCAGGAACAUCACAUUUGUAAAGAGGAAGUAGUUUUGCAAAAAAUGUUGACGAUCACGAGUUCCAGCUAUUGUUUAAACACCAAUCAAUAAUCUAAACAAUCAUUAACACAACAGGUUUUUAGGUUUAGUUUUUACUUCCUGAUUUCUCAACCAAGGUCACCAUUGUAAUAGCUGCAGACUACAGGAGGACAUCGAAAGGGCUUGGCUUCUCUACAAGCAGCAGAGUGCACAUGCAGGUUAGAGGACUACGCCAUCUAUCAUAAGAGGUAAAGGAAACAAUGGUCUAUGGAUGAAAAGAUAAAACCUUAUCCUGCAAGGUUUACCUCAUGGAUUAUUGGCUGAUCAGAUUUGUGCUCACAGGAGCACUGGUGUACGUUAUCUCCGCACGAACUCGUCUGUACACCUUUGUGAGCACGCCCCUGAACUGGAGGGAAGCGCAGAGUGUCUGCAGACAGAACUACACGGAUCUGGCCACCGCAGAAACAACAGCUGACAUCAGUGCCAUUAUCGGGACCACAUCUACUUA